rnacentral:rRNA from 1 species
CCAGCAGCCGCGGUAAUUCCAGCUCCAAUAGCGUAUAUUAAAGUUGUUGCAGUUAAAAAGCUCGUAGUCGGAUUUCGGGCUGGUCGUGCGGGUCUGCCGUUGGGUAUGUACUUGCGUCGUCCGGUCAGUAUGGCGUAGGUGCGUCGCCUCGUUGAUUCGUGUGCGUCGUUCUCUGCGCCCGUUUACUUUGAGAAAAUCAGAGUGUUCAAAGCAGGCCUUUGCCAUUGUAUGUGUUAGCAUGGGAUAAUGGAAUAGGACCUUGGUGCUAUUUUGUUGGUUUCGAACGCCGAGGUAAUGAUGAAUAGGGACAGUCAGGGGCACUCGUAUUCCGUAGAGAGAGGUGAAAUUCUUAGACCCACGGAAGACGCACUACUGCGAAAGCAUUUGCCAGGGAUGUUUUCACUGAUCAAGAACGAAAGU